rnacentral:rRNA from 1 species
CAGCAGCCGCGGUAAUACCGGCGGCCCGAGUGGCGGUCACUAUUAUUUGGCUUAAAGCGUCCGUAGCCGGGUUGGGAAGUCCUCCGGGAAAUCUGGCCGCUUAACGGUCAGAAUGCCGGAGGAUACUCCCAGCCUAGGGAGCGGGAGAGGCCGAGGGUAUUCCCGGGGUAGGGGUGAAAUCCUAUAAUCCCGGGAGGACCACCUGUGGCGAAGGCGCUCGGCUGGAACGCGUCCGACGGUGAGGGACGAAGGCCAGGGGAGCAAACCGGAUUAGAUACCCGGGUAGUCCUGGCGGUAAACGAUGCGGACUUUGUGUCGGACAAGCUAUGAGCUUGUCCGGUGCCGGAGGGAAACCGUUAAGUCCGCCGCCUGGGGAGUACGGCCGCAAGGCUGAAACUUAAAGGAAUUGGCGGG